rnacentral:rRNA from 1 species
GACGAACGCUGGCGGCGUGCCUAAUACAUGCAAGUUGAGCGCUGAAGGUUGGUACUUGUACCGACUGGAUGAGCAGCGAACGGGUGAGUAACGCGUGGGGAAUCUGCCUUUGAGCGGGGGACAGCAUUUGGAAACGAAUGCUAAUACCGCAUAAAAACUUUAAACACAAGUUUUAAGUUUGAAAGAUGCAAUUGCAUCACUCAAAGAUGAUCCCGCGUUGUAUUAGCUAGUUGGUGAGGUAAAGGCUCACCAAGGCGAUGAUACAUAGCCGACCUGAGAGGGUGAUCGGCCACAUUGGGACUGAGACACGGCCCAAACUCCUACGGGAGGCAGCAGUAGGGAAUCUUCGGCAAGGGACGAAAGUCUGACCGAGCAACGCCGCGUGAGUGAAGAAGGUUUUCGGAUCGUAAAACUCGGUUGGUAGAGAAGAACGUUGGUGAGAGUGGAAAGCUCAUCAAGUGACGGUAACUACCCAGAAAGGGACGGCUAACUACGUG